GCCUUGAGCGCGGAUCUUCAGAGAUUAGAGUUUGAUCAUGGCUCAGAUUGAACGCUGGCGGCAUGCUUUACACAUGCAAGUCGAACGGCAGCACAGCAGAGGUAACUCUGUGGGUGGCGAGUGGCGAACGGGUGAGUAAUACAUCGGAACGUACCCUGUUGUGGGGGAUAACUACGCGAAAGCGUAGCUAAUACCGCAUACGCCCUGAGGGGGAAAGCGGGGGACCCUAAAUAGAGCGCACUGGGGAGUGCGUUGUAUUUAGGGCCUCGCGCAAUAGGAGCGGCCGAUGUCGGAUUAGCUAGUUGGUGAGGUAAAGGCUUACCAAGGCGACGAUCCGUAGCUGGUCUGAGAGGAUGAUCAGCCACACUGGGACUGAGACACGGCCCAGACUCCUACGGGAGGCAGCAGUGGGGAAUUUUGGACAAUGGGGGCAACCCUGAUCCAGCCAUGCCGCGUGAGUGAAGAAGGCCUUCGGGUUGUAAAGCUCUUUCGGACGGAAAGAAAUCGCGCAGGUGAAUAAUCUGCGUGGAUGACGGUACCGUAAGAAGAAGCACCGGCUAACUACGUGCCAGCAGCCGCGGUAAUACGUAGGGUGCGAGCGUUAAUCGGAAUUACUGGGCGUAAAGCGUGCGCAGGCGGCUUUGUAAGACAGGUGUGAAAUCCCCGGGCUUAACCUGGGAAUGGCGCUUGUGACUGCAAGGCUCGAGUGCGGCAGAGGGGGGUGGAAUUCCACGUGUAGCAGUGAAAUGCGUAGAGAUGUGGAGGAACACCGAUGGCGAAGGCAGCCCCCUGGGUCGACACUGACGCUCAUGCACGAAAGCGUGGGGAGCAAACAGGAUUAGAUACCCUGGUAGUCCACGCCCUAAACGAUGCCAACUAGUUGUUGGGGAAGGAGACUUCCUUAGUAACGAAGCUAACGCGUGAAGUUGGCCGCCUGGGGAGUACGGUCGCAAGAUUAAAACUCAAAGGAAUUGACGGGGACCCGCACAAGCGGUGGAUGAUGUGGAUUAAUUCGAUGCAACGCGAAAAACCUUACCUACCCUUGACAUGCCAGGAACUCUGCUGAGAGGUGGAGGUGCCCGAAGGGAGCUGGACACAGGUGCUGCAUGGCUGUCGUCAGCUCGUGUCGUU
rnacentral:rRNA from 1 species